rnacentral:rRNA from 1 species
AUUGAACGCUGGCGGCAGGCUUAACACAUGCAAGUCGAGCGGAGCGGCGGACGGGUGCGUAAUGCCUAGGCGUCUGCCUGGUAGUGGGGGCUAACGUCCGAGCACGGGCGCUAAUGUCGCAUACUAUCAGAUGAGCCUAGGUCGGAUUCGCUAGUUGGUGGGGUAAGGGCCGACCAAGGCGACGAUGCGUAACUGGUCUGAGAGGAUGAUCAGUCACACUGGAACUGAUACACGGGCCAGACUCCUCCGGGAGGUAGCAGUGGGGGAUGUGGGACAAUGGGCGAAAGCCUGAUACGGCCAUGGCGCGGGUGUGAAGAAGGGCAUCGGGUUGUAAAGCACGUUAAGCUGGGAGGCGGUAUCAACAGAAUAAGCACCGGCUAACUACGUGCCAGCAGCCGCGGUAAUUC